rnacentral:rRNA from 1 species
UACGUAGGGGGCGAGCGUUGUCCGGAGUUACUGGGCGUAAAGGGCAUGCCGGCGGUCGGACGCGUUUUGUGUGACAGCGGGUGGCUCAACUACCCGAGCAUGCGAAAGACGGUCGGACUUGAGGACUCGAGAGGGACACGGAAUUCCGGGUGGAGUGGUGAAAUGCGUAGAGAUCCGGAGGAACACCGAAGGCGAAGGCAGUGUCCUGGCGAGUGACUGACGCUGAGGUGCGAAAGCCAGGGGAGCGAACGGG